AACGAACGCUGGCGGCAUGCCUAACACAUGCAAGUCGAACGAGACCUUCGGGUCUAGUGGCGCACGGGUGCGUAACGCGUGGGAACCUGCCCUUAGGUUCGGAAUAACUCCCCGAAAGGGGUGCUAAUACCGGAUAAUGUCUUCGGACCAAAGAUUUAUCGCCUUUGGAUGGGCCCGCGUUGGAUUAGCUAGUUGGUAGGGUAAAAGCCUACCAAGGCGACGAUCCAUAGCUGGUCUGAGAGGAUGAUCAGCCACACUGGGACUGAGACACGGCCCAGACUCCUAAGGGAGGCAGCAGUGGGGAAUAUUGGACAAUGGGCGAAAGCCUGAUCCAGCAAUGCCGCGUGAGUGAUGAAGGCCUUAGGGUUGUAAAGCUCUUUUACCCGGGAUGAUAAUGACAGUACCGGGAGAAUAAGCUCCGGCAAACUCCGU
rnacentral:rRNA from 1 species